AAGUUAAAUCUUUAGUCAUAUAGCCAGAAAGCCAGUUCGUUGAAAGAGGAAAGUUGCCAAGUAUAGUUAUUGUUUAUUGGUGCAUUGUAAUAGAAAUAAAUAAAUAAAUAAAUCAUUGAUCUUCCAAUGAGCCAUUAGGAUGGCAAAAACAAAUGAAUAUCUAACCUGCUAAAACUUAAUCAAAGUUAUAGAGUACUGUGUAUGGAAGAUGUCAAUGACAAGGUGUACUUCAUUUGUUGAGAUAAGAUUUACAGAGCCAGAGAAUCCUCCGUUUUCAACCGGCCGAGAGAAAAAU
rnacentral:misc_RNA from 1 species